AAAAUUCUAACAUGUCCACCAUUGGCCGUAAUUGUUAUAUCAUUCAUCUAAAACAUUAUCAACAUUGUCUCAUUGUAUACAUGGAACAUUUCAUUCAUCAUCAUCAUCAUCAUCAUCAUAUGACUUUACCUCAUUGUCAUAUAUAGAUGCUUUCAAAAUCUGAAUAGUUAAUAUCUGAACCAUCACAUCCAUCCAUUCAUCCAUCCAUCUAAUAGAACUAUGGCCCCGUAAAAAAAUGAAGAUAAAUUGACCUUUUUUUUUUUUUGAUUAUGUCCACAUAUUAGUGGUGAAAUCGAUUCUGCUCAGGUCAGCAAGAAAUGAAACCAAACGAAAUACAAUGUGAAACAACAACAAAAAAAAAAUUCAUUUCCAUUCACGAAAUAUAUUCAUAUAUAAAGAGCAAAAAAAAACAACAAAACAAAACAAAAUAUUCUGGUGCAUUUAUAUUCUCUGUCUGCAUUAAUUCUAUGUUUAUGUAAUAAUUUAUGAUAUGAUCAUGUUCUCCACCUACUUUUGAAUAUAUUCAUUGAAAUCAACAACAACAACAACAACAACAGCAACAGCAUUGCUAAAUGUAUAGGUGACAAGAUUUUUUUUUUGUCCCCUUUAUUCUGGAAUGUGUGUGUGUGUGUGUGUGUGUUAACGAAAAUGAAUUUAUAAAUGAAUCAAAAGUGAAGAGAAAAUCAAUGAGAAAUUGAUUUUUUUUUCUUACGCCAAUAUAUCGGCCACAAACUGAAUAAGAUUUUUUUUUUUCCUCCUUUUUUUUUUUACUGGUAAGUGUAAAGCCAACAACAAACAUACAGCAGCCAUACACAAACACAAUCCUAUUAGCUAUUUUUGGGCUACUGGUUAGUUUGAAUUCUUUUCCUGUUUUUUUUUUGCUAUAUUUUUUUCCCACUGAUCUAUGAUGAUUAUUAUUAUUAUUAUUAAGGCUCUUAAGUUUUUUUUUUUUGGCCUUUUCACUUUUCACUAAACCAUCUAAUGUAUAUUCUGGAUUCUUUUUUAGUUUCAAUAAACUAAAAACUAUAGAAUUUAGGAUCUUGAUCCAGAAACGAAGACUUUUAGCUGAAUUGAGUUGUUGUUUUGUC